UAAAUAGUCAGGUCGGCUUCGGCUGAUUGUUUGACUUCUUAGAGGGACUGUCAGCGUCUAGCUGACGGAAGUUUGAGGCAAUAACAGGUCUGUGAUGCCCUUAGAUGUUCUGGGCCG
rnacentral:rRNA from 1 species